UGGGGAAUAUUGCACAAUGGGCGCAAGCCUGAUGCAGCCAUGCCGCGUGUAUGAAGAAGGCCUUCGGGUUGUAAAGUACUUUCAGCGGGGAGGAAGGGAGUAAAGUUAAUACCUUUGCUCAUUGACGUUACCCGCAGAAGAAGCACCGGCUAACUCCGUGCCAGCAGCCGCGGUAAUACGGAGGGUGCAAGCGUUAAUCGGAAUUACUGGGCGUAAAGCGCACGCAGGCGGUUUGUUAAGUCAGAUGUGAAAUCCCCGGGCUACACCUUGGAACUGCAUCUGAGACUGGCAAGCUUGAGUCUCGUAGAGGGGGGUAGAAUUCCAGGUGUAGCGGUGAAAUGCGUAGAGAUCUGGAGAAAUACCGGUGGCGAAGGCGGCCCCCUGGACGAAGACUGACGCUCAUGUGCGAAAGCGUGGGGAGCAAACAGG
rnacentral:rRNA from 1 species